rnacentral:tRNA from 1 species
GCGGGGGUGUCGGAGUGGCCAAACGAGCAGGACUUAAGAUCCUGUGGCUUAGUGCCUGCGCAGGUUCAAAUCCUGUCCCUCGCA